CCUACGGGAGGCAGCAGUAAGGAAUAUUGGUCAAUGGAGGCAACUCUGAACCAGCCAUGCCGCGUGCAGGAUGACGGCCCUAUGGGUUGUAAACUGCUUUUAUACAAGAGAAGACCCUGGUACGUGUACCAGGUUGAUAGUAUUGUAAGAAUAAGCAUCGGCUAACUUCGUGCCAGCAGCCGCGGUAAGACGAAGGAUGCAAGCGUUAUCCGGAUUCAUUGGGUUUAAAGGGUGCGUAGGCGGACUGAUAAGUCAGUGGUGAAAUCUCUUUGCUUAACAAAGAAACUGCCAUUGAUACUGUCGGUCUAGAGUAUAGAUGACGUUGGCGGAAUAUGACAUGUAGUGGUGAAAUACUUAGAUAUGUCAUAGAACACCGAUUGCGAAGGCAGCUAACGAAACUAUAACUGACGCUGAGGCACGAAAGUGCGGGGAUCAAACAGGAUUAGAUACUCUGGUAGUCCGCACCGUAAACGAUGAUUACUCGUUGUUGGCGAUAUGACAGUCAGCGACCAAGCGAAAGCGAUAAGAAUCCACCUGGGGAGUACGCCGGCAACGGUGAAACUCAAAGGAAUUGACGGCGNGAGAGNGCGAGGACGACACGAGGGAGGAG
rnacentral:rRNA from 1 species